UUAAAUUACCGUUGUGUCUGAGAACUGGGUGCCCAAGAUGUAGGCUGCUAGUAAAGGAAAGAGGGCCCCUGGCAAGAGAGGAGAGCCGUUUGUCUUCGCAAACGGUUGUGGAGCGGUCCUUGCCAGUAGGGAGUUAACAGUUGGUACAGAUGGAUUAGGGAACCAAUCUCAAGUUAAAGAAGCUGAAAAAGAAGGCAGGGGACUUUUUGAGGCACUUGGAUCCCUCUUUCUGAGGGGAAGAGAAAGAGGGGUCCAAGAAGGAGAAAUGAUACAGUAGUUUGUCCUGUAAAUCUUUCUAAGGCCGUGCCUGUUUAUAACUCUGCUUAAACCAUCCUCAUUCAAAAGAAUCCCAAACUCGAGUUCUUACAGACACAACAGUAAGUUUACAAAGGAGUUCAUGAAUGAAAGCACUUGAACUGGACUCUGUGUGUGUGUCUGUCCUUUAAAAUCACAGCUGAAUAAUAAACGCACUGCCAGAUUUGGCAAACAAGAAUGAUGUGCGUAUGGCUCUGCUUUAGUCUCCAGUGUUCAUGAAUUUCUUAUUUAAAUAUUAAUAUCGUGCUGGGUGGAACUGAGUUCGUGCAGCAUGGCUGAGGAGGCUGAAUUAGUUGACAGCGUUUAUGUAAAUGUUCUCCAAGCCUCCAGAAUAGUUCAUGAGGGGAAUAUGUAGUUCCUUCAGGAAAUAAGAGUACAGUUCCACAUAAUGAAUCUUCUGACUAUAAUUAAUUUAUUCUGACUUAGACUACUUAUGUGGAUAGUACAGCUGCUACUUAAAAACACACACACACACACGUUACUGCAAAUAUCCAGAAGUUCCAGUGCAUGUGCCUGUAAUUUGUGAAAUUACAGAUUAUUAUACUGAAGCAGACUCUUACCUAGUGUUUUUUUCCAGGCAAUUUUGACAAGAAGAUCUUAUUCCAGCUGGUGAAGUCCACCCUCGUAAACUAAGCUGAAACAACACAAACAGCUCUCUUCCACCUCGAGAACAAUUUCUCAGCCGUGUAGCGGUGGCAGGAUCCCAGCAAGUCCCUUGGCUUGGGAAGAACAAAGGCUUUACAAUGGCUUCCUGCUGUAUUUGCUUCAACACUAUGAGAUGUUUUUUGUUGACUUGAACCCUUGUUUCUCACUGAGACAAGCAGAUGACCCUCAGCGUUUGGGACUAAUCAGCUCUCUCAAACUGAAACACUGACGUAACAACACGACAGAAACUUCCCUCACAACUGACAGAAACAUCUGGCAGGCCAGCGUGUUAAAUCAUCAUGUCAAUAAAAAAGGACCUUUUUAAUGGACUUCA
rnacentral:lncRNA from 1 species